CUGGUUGCUCCACACGUCAUAUACGUCCUCUCUCUGCCUCUCUCUUUUGGCACACUACCCACCACACCACCACCAUACCUCUACUUUACCUCUGCCUAGAGCAAGAGCGGCGGUGAGCAGUGCUGGUAGCUUUUUCACGCUGCUACGACUGUGGCGGCGUCGUGGUGUUCCUGGGGUUUGGAAAAAGUUCACCAAAGAAGCUCCGUGACUGUCGAAGGAGCUGCGAUAUACAUACCCGAAAUGCUUGUGGCAGGAACAAGGGAAUGAUUAUUGUGGAUACUACGUGUGCGAGUUCAUCUACAACGUGACUUGCAAAGAUAAGCGAGGCUACUCUAAAAGACAAUUUGAUGUGCGUGAGCAAUAAUAUUCACAAUUUGAUUUUAUUACACUAUCAUUUCCGUUGAGUUUCAUUCAUAUAUAUGUAUUAACCUGAUACGUCUCCAACGUAUCUAUAAUUUUUGAUUGCUCCAUGCUAUAUUAUCUACUGUUUUGGACAUUAUUGGGCUUUAUUAUCCACUUUUA